rnacentral:rRNA from 1 species
AUACGUAGGGUGCGAGCGUUGUCCGGAAUUACUGGGCGUAAAGAGCUCGUAGGUGGUUUGUCGCGUCGUCUGUGAAAUUCCGGGGCUUAACUCCGGGCGUGCAGGCGAUACGGGCAUAACUUGAGUACUGUAGGGGAGACUGGAAUUCCUGGUGUAGCGGUGAAAUGCGCAGAUAUCAGGAGGAACACCGGUGGCGAAGGGUGGUUUCUGGGAUGUAACUGACGCUGAGGAGCGAAAGCAUGGGUAGCGAACAGGAUUAGAUACCCUGGUAUUCCAUGCCGUAAACGGUGGGCGCUAGGUGUAGGGGUCAUCCACGACUUCUUGGCCGUAGCUAACGCAUGAAGCGCCCCGCCUGGGGAGUACGGCCGCAAGGCUAAAACUCAAAGGAAUUGACGGGG